CACAAGGAGCAAACUUGGUGCGAUUAAGAUCUGACAACCUGAACUUCCCGAUCUCCGAAUCAGAAUAUUACACAGCCCAUGGUAGCAGAUACAAAUUCGACAACCCUUCAUAUAAUUAUGAUUGUGAGCAAGUAUCGCCAAACAAUGGAGACGGCAAACCAAACGGAUGUAUCAUCUUGAAGGACAAGACCCAACUGAGCUGCUCAAAUUGCUG